rnacentral:rRNA from 1 species
UACGCCCGAUCUCGUCCGAUCUCUAAGCAGGGUCGGGCUUGGUUAGUACUUGGAUGGGAGACCGCCUGGGAAUACCAGGUGCUGUAAGCUUUUUUCC